UUAAUCUUAUUACGUAUACAUCUUGCCUUCCAAUAGGUAGGCAAAUUUACCUAGGUUACUUUUGAAACUUUUUAUCUACAUCUUUUAAAGCACAACAAGGUAAGGUUCACAUUUUAACUUCUAAUGAAUGUUUUUAUCAUAUAUACAUCACUUUGUUUUCUUUUACAAACUCUCCCUAGUUAACCACUUGCCAUGUGAUUGUUCCUAAAUAUUUCAGAGAAAAAUGAGACAUAAAAGGGUUUGUCCAGAAACAGAAGCUUUGCAUUUCACUUCUUCUGGAAGGGAUAAAGACACAUUUUACAAAAGAUUCAUCAACAAGGAGAAAGGACCAACUCCAUUCAUCGCAUAGCAGUCCACAACUACCAGAAAAGAUCUCACAGACAUCUCACAGAGUGUUAUCUGUAUUUACCCAGAAAUGACUGACACUCACCUGAGUCACAUUCCAGAGGAAUUAUGCAUUGGUGAAAUGAUCCAGUCAGAGCAGAAAAAUGUUCCAGGAGAACAAACAGAACAACACCAUGAAGUAAAAAACCAAGGACAAGAUACACAUACACGCGACCAAAUUCUGAAGAAAAUGCAUCCAAUUCAACAAAAAAAUUGUUGGCAAGAAAUCAUCACUG